CACGUAAGGUGCGAGCGUUGUCCGGAAUUAUUGGGCGUAAAGCGCGCGUAGGCGGCUACUUAAGUCGGAUGUGAAAGCCCCUGGCUCAACUGGGGAAGUGCACCCGAAACUGAGUGGCUUGAGUACAAAAGAGGGUCGCGGAAUUCCCGGUGUAGAGGUGAAAUUCGUAGAUAUCGGGAGGAACACCGGUGGCGAGGGCGGCGACCUGGGUUGAUACUGACGCUGAGGCGCGAAAGCGUGGGGAGCAAACAGG
rnacentral:rRNA from 1 species